AUUCUAAACUAAACUAUUUUCUG
rnacentral:tRNA from 4 species